CCUACGGGAGGCAGCAGUGGGGAAUAUUGCACAAUGGGGGAAACCCUGAUGCAGCGACGCCGCGUGAGUGAAGAAGUAUUUCGGUAUGUAAAGCUCUAUCAGCAGGGAAGAUAAUGACGGUACCUGACUAAGAAGCCCCGGCUAACUACGUGCCAGCAGCCGCGGUAAUACGUAGGGGGCAAGCGUUAUCCGGAUUUACUGGGUGUAAAGGGGUGGUAGGUGGGAGGGCAAGUCAGAUGUGAAAGCGCGGGGCUCAACCCCGGUACUGCAUUUGAAACUGUCCAGCGGGAGUGCAGGAGAGGUAAGCGGAAUCCCUAGUUGAGCGGUGAAAUGCGUAGAUAUUAGGAGGAACACCAGGGGCGAAGGCGGCUUACUGGACUGUAACUGGCACUGAGGCACGAAAGCGUGGGGAGCAAACAGGAUUAGAUACCCCAGUAGUC
rnacentral:rRNA from 1 species